rnacentral:lncRNA from 1 species
AGGUGGCAGGUGAGAAGAGAACAUGCUUCUGCAUUUUUGUAUUGAGGGGUUAGUCAGUGAGAGGUGCUGUCAGUACCGGCUUGGAAUUCAGAGCUCUCCUCUGGGCACUCAGUGGGAAAUUAUGUAGGAAGGAGGGUAAUUCGUGAAAGGCCUCAGCAACUCUGUUUGCUGUUUACUGUGAGAGAAGAAACUUGAAGGGUGUCAGGAGAAUGUGCUUUGUUAUGAAGGGAAUAAGUCCAGAAGAUGAUCUUUAGAGCAACUUUCUGAAUGGAUGCGAGUGGGGCAAGGCUGUAUUUCAGGACAGAAGAGGAUGUUGCAGUAGUUGAGCUGAUCAUGCCAUGAGGAAGAAAUGUAAUUAUGCAAAACCUCGUGAAGGCAGUACCUCGCCCAUGUUCUGCAGCCUGUGCAAGACUUGAACGAGGGGAAUAAAAACCUAUGAAAAGGCUCAAGCCAAAACUUGUAUGCAUCAUAAUUUUUUUUUUUUUCUUCCCAGCCUUAGACCUUGUCCUCAGCUAUUGCUGACCAAGUCUGGAAGACAAAAAUCCAAUAACUUGCAACUUUUUAAGGAGGAAUGAAAGCCUUUCCUAUCAAGUCCAGUUUGUCUAUCUGGAGAUAGAUCAGAUCCAUGGACUAGCAGACUGAGUUUAGUGAACUGCUAAAGAUAAGAAGUGGAAGUGGGAGGAGACGGAUGGACUGUGGGGAAGCAGCAAAAGUUUGUGGAGAAGCCUCAAGGCUUUAGAUGGCAGGACAGCAUUAGUCAUGAUAUUUGAUGAUAUCAUUUGAAGGAACUGCAAGAAAGGUUUCAGGUAGAGCCUCAAAGAUGUCAAUGUUUGAGGUAGUGCUACCCCAAACUGAAGGGCUUUGAACUCUUUGAGGAGGCCUAUGUUAACUAUUAUAUCCUAAAUCCAUUUUUUCUCAUCUUCUUUGGAAAGGUAAGGUGGAACCUUUGCCCCCUGGCUACUGGACAUCAGAGAGAGCGACAUGGCUUCCCCCAUCCUGAGGAAAUGGAGGACUGUUUCCAGGGCCAGCACUGACCCCUGACCUAGGGGUUUAGCCCUGAACUACUGGAGGCUUCUGU